rnacentral:rRNA from 1 species
UACCAGACUCCUACGGGAGGCAGCAGUGGGGGAUAUUGCACAAUGGGGGAAACCCUGAUGCAGCGACGCCGCGUGGGUGAAGAAGCGCCUCGGCGCGUAAAGCCCUUUCAGCAGGGAAGAAAAUGACGGUACCUGAAGAAGAAGCCCCGGCUAACUACGUGCCAGCAGCCGCGGUAAUACGUAGGGGGCAAGCGUUAUCCGGAUUUACUGGGUGUAAAGGGAGCGUAGACGGCAUAGCAAGUCUGAAGUGAAAGCCCGUGGCUCAACCGCGGAACUGCUUUGGAAACUGAGCAGCUAGAGUGCAGGAGAGGUAAGUGGAAUUCCUAGUGUAGCGGUGAAAUGCGUAGAUAUUAGGAGGAACACCAGUGGCGAAGGCGGCCUGCUGGGCUUUUACUGACGCUGAGGCUCGAAAGUGUGGGGAGCAAACAGGAUUAGAUACCCCAGUA